GGCAGGUUACCCGAGCGGCCAAAGGGGACUGACUGUAAAUCAGUUGGCUUAUGCCUACAUAGGUUCGAAUCCUAUACCUGCCA
rnacentral:tRNA from 2 species